rnacentral:rRNA from 1 species
AUGCAAAGAAACAAAAAUAAGAUUACACGGUACUGGACGGGACAUGAUGUCCAAUUAUUCAAGACAACAAGAACAUUUCGACUAUCUCAGCAUGAAAUCCCGGCGUAUAGACUUUCUUAUGCAAUAGCUGCGUCAAAUUCAACAUCCUUGGUACAGACACGAUCGCAUCCAGUUGUGCAAUUCUCUAUGACAUCUUUCUCUUGUUCAAGUGUUUGUGGUGUUGCAGACGGAGGACAUGCAUCCCAACUUGCAAUACUCAAUGACUUAUGCUUCGUUUGGGAAAACAAACCUCGUGUGUUUAAAUAUAAUUCUUUGUGCUUGAGAGGAAAAUAG